CACAAUAAACUGGUUUGAGACUCUUUUGCGUCCCAAUGUGAAACGGCACUUACUUGUAGAUGAAUACAAUGGACGAAGAUGAGAAAAUAGUGCGGAGGCAGCAGAGAUCGGAACAAUCCUUUGGCACUGUUGAAUACAGUAGGCUUUUGAAUAUGUCCUAAAUAAUACAGGUAGUGCUACAAUUGGCAGCCACAUCCCACUUUUGGCUAGUGGUAAGCAGUGACUAUUUGGUUAGGAUGUGUCAAAGAACUGUUUCGAAGCUGACAUCACAUGAGCUUAAAGAAAUGGAAACGAAGUUGUGCCCACAGUUUAUACGGUUUGCACCAGAGUAUUCCCUUACAUGGAAGGAAUGGUUUGUGCAGCGUUAUUGGGUGCGUUGAUGGUGUUCACAUCGGCUUGCAAAAAUCAGUAGACGAGCAUAUGUACUUUAAUACAAAAAGCUACCAUAGCAUCAACGCCAUGAUAAUAUGUGACCACACAUACAAAAUUUUGGCUAUCAACUGCCAAUACGGUGGUGCACGAUUCAUUUGUUUGGAAACACUCAAACUCAAGAGUUUUGGAAGAACAAUUUCAGCACAAUGGUAAUGUAAAUUCAUGGCUUUUAGCAGCGGAUUCUGGCUACCCACUGCAAUUAUGUUGCAAAACCCCUUACAGAAACGCUUUGGAUGGUGCAAGUUACGAAGUAUUGGAAUCUUAAAAAGAUGCUGGAUAAUUUUAGGAUAUGACAAGAGAGGGAGAAACCAUCCCACGAAAUUUACAAAAUUUGUUAACGUUUGUGUGGCAUUACAUAACAUCUGCAUAUAAUAUAAAAUAAGUAAUGAUCCUCAAAAUUGCGAUUCUGACUACACACCAGAAAUCAACACCGUGAAGUGAAAUGAAGUAUUCUUUAUUAAAUUUAAGCAGAAAAUAUAUACAGUGGCGAGCAGAUUUGAGUGCAUGUUUACAAAACUGACUUUCAUCACCUAUAAAAACAUAACCACACAAGCAAAUCCAAAAUUUUUUUUGUUUUAUUAUUAAUAUUUAAUUCGUAACAAAUUGUAGUAAAGAAACAAUGACUAAUAAGAAAAAUUCGAAGAGUUUGGAAGAGAAAACGAAAGAUUAUUA